rnacentral:piRNA from 1 species
UCCNCUCACCUCUAACUGCCUCUUUAGGGU